UUGCAAAAAACGCAAUGCUGCCAAAGAAGCAUGGGAGUCAAUCAUUAAGGAACUGGACCUUGGGCAACAUGUGUCUCACAAACAGGCCUCCAAGAAAUGGGAGAACCUAAAAAAGAAAUACAAGGAACUUAAAAGGCCAAGGACUGGAACAGGGACUGAUCAGG